rnacentral:rRNA from 1 species
GAUGAACGCUGGCGGCGUGCCUAAUACAUGCAAGUCGAGCGAACGGACGAGAAGCUUGCUUCUCUGAUGUUAGCGGCGGACGGGUGAGUAACACGUGGAUAACCUACCUAUAAGACUGGGAUAACUUCGGGAAACCGGAGCUAAUACCGGAUAAUAUUUUGAACCGCAUGGUUCAAAAGUGAAAGACGGUCUUGCUGUCACUUAUAGAUGGCUCCGGGCUGCAUUAGCUAGUUGGUAAGGUAACGGCUUACCAAGGCAACGAUGCAUAGCCGACCUGAGAGGGUGAUCGCCCAAACGGAAACUGACAACAGACCCAACCCCCACCGGGAGGCCAACGGAGGGAAUCUGCCGAAAUGGGCGAACGCCAGACGGACAAACGCCCCGGGAGUGAGAAAGUCCUCCGGAUCGAAAACCCUUUUUUUUAGGGAAAAACAAAUGGUUAAGUAACGGUGCCCAUCUGGAGGGAACCAAAUCAGAAAGCCCCGGCCAACCACGG